UUUGGGUUCCAGUCUGCGUUUAGGCGUCUAUCUUUUCUUUGUCGAGUCCUAUCUUAUCUGUGUAUUUUGCUGUGGUUCUUGUGAGGCGUGACAUCGAGUGCUCUCGUCGAGUGCGCUUGUUGAUCUCGUUGUGCCGUUGGUUGGUGAUUCCCCGUGGUAGAUUGAGGGAUUUGAUUCUUUGACAGAGAAUUUGAGCGGAAA
rnacentral:lncRNA from 1 species